UCUUAUGGAUGAGCAGAGAAAGUGGUUUCUUAAGAUAGACUCCUUUUCUGGUGAAGAUGCAGUGAA
rnacentral:pre_miRNA from 1 species